rnacentral:rRNA from 1 species
CUACAUCCUGUUUUUAGUGGAACUUCUGAGUAUAAAAAACAAAUAAAUCAAAACUUUCAACAACGGAUCUCUUGGUUCUGGCAUCGAUGAAGAACGCAGCAAAAUGCGAUAAGUAAUGUGAAUUGCAGAAUUCAGUGAAUCAUCGAAUCUUUGAACGCACAUUGCGCCCGCCAGUAUUCUGGCGGGCAUGCCUGUUCGAGCGUCAUUUCAACCCUCAAGCCCAGCUUGGUGUUGGGAUCUGUGUGCAAACACAGUCCCCAAAUUGAUUGGCGGUCACGUCGAGCUUCCAUAGCGUAGUAAUUUACACAUCGUUACUGGUAAUCGUCGCGGCCACGCCGUUAAACCCCAACUUCUGAAUGUUGACCUCGGAUCAGGUAGGAAUACCCGCUGAACUUAAGCAUAUC